rnacentral:rRNA from 1 species
GACGAACGCUGGCGGCGUGCCUAAUACAUGCAAGUAGAACGCUGAAGCUUGGUGCUUGCACCGAGCGGAUGAGUUGCGAACGGGUGAGUAACGCGUAGGUAACCUGCCUGGUAGCGGGGGAUAACUAUUGGAAACGAUAGCUAAUACCGCAUAAUAGUAGAUGUUGCAUGACAUUUGCUUAAAAGGUGCAAUUGCAUCACUACCAGAUGGACCUGCGUUGUAUUAGCUAGUUGGUGAGGUAACGGCUCACCAAGGCAACGAUACAUAGCCGACCUGAGAGGGUGAUCGGCCACACUGGGACUGAGACACGGCCCAGACUCCUACGGGAGGCAGCAGUAGGGAAUCUUCGGCAAUGGACGGAAGUCUGAACGAGCAACGCCGCGUGAGUGAAGAAGGUUUUCGGAUCGUAAAGCUCUGUUGUAAGAGAAGAACGAGUGUGAGAGUGGAAAGUUCACACUGUGACGGUAUCUUACCAGAAAGGGACGGCUAACUACGUG